ACGCUCGACACCUACGGGGGGCAGCAGUGGGGAAUAUUGCACAAUGGGCGAAAGCCUGAUGCAGCAACGCCGCGUGAGCGAAGAAGGCCUUCGGGUCGUAAAGCUCUGUCCUCAAGGAAGAUAAUGACGGUACUUGAGGAGGAAGUCCCGGCUAACUACGUGCCUGCAGCCGCGGUAAUCUGAGCGGGCUGGCAAGGC
rnacentral:rRNA from 1 species